rnacentral:rRNA from 1 species
GUUGAUCAUGGCUCAGGAUGAACGCUAGCUACAGGCUUAACACAUGCAAGUCGAGGGGCAGCAUGACGGUAGCUUGCUACUGUUGAUGGCGACCGGCGCACGGGUGAGUAACGCGUAUCCAACCUUCCCACAAAUAAGGAAUAGCCCGGUGAAAAUCGAAUUAAUACCUUAUGUGGUCAUAAGAGGACAUCUGAUUAUGAUUAAAGAUUUAUCGUUUGUGGAUGGGGAUGCGUCUGAUUAGGUAGACGGCGGGGUAACGGCCCACCGUGCCGACGAUCAGUAGGGGUUCUGAGAGGAAGGUCCCCCACAUUGGAACUGAGACACGGUCCAAACUCCUACGGGAGGCAGCAGUGAGGAAUAUUGGUCAAUGGGCGAGAGCCUGAACCAGCCAAGUAGCGUGCCAGGAUGACGGCCCUAUGGGUUGUAAACUGCUUUUAUGCGGGAAUAAAACGAGGGACGUGUCCUUCUUUGCAGGUACCGCAUGAAUAAGGACCGGCUAAUUCCGUGCCAGCAGCGGC